UCCAGACUCCUACGGGAGGCAGCAGUGGGGAAUAUUGGGCAAUGGGCGCAAGCCUGACCCAGCAACGCCGCGUGAAGGAAGAAGGCUUUCGGGUUGUAAACUGCUUUUAUAAGCGAGAAAUAUGAUGGUAACUUAUGAAUAAGGAUCGGCUAACUACGUGCCAGCAGCCGCGGUCAUACGUAGGAUCCGAGCAUUAUCCGGAGUGACUGGGUGUAAAGAGUUGCGUAGGUGGCAUAAUAAGUAGCUAGUGAAAUCUGGUGGCUCAACCAUUCAGACUAUUAGCUAAACUGUUAAGCUCGAGACCGUUAGGGGUAACUGGAAUUUCUAGUGUAGGAGUGAAAUCCGUAGAUAUUAGAAGGAACACCAAUAGCGUAGGCAGGUUGCUGGGACGGUUCUGACACUAAGGCACGAAAGCGUAGGGAGCAAACGGGAUUAGAUACCCGCGUACA
rnacentral:rRNA from 1 species